rnacentral:rRNA from 1 species
AGCGAACGCCGGCGGCAGGCCUAACACAUGCAAGUCGAGCUCCGUAGCAAUACGGAGCGGCAGACGGGAGAGUAACACGUGGGAACGUGCCCUUUGGUUAGGAACAACCCCGGGAAACUUGGGCUAAUACCGGAUAAGCCCUUACGGGGAAAGCUUUAUCGCCGAAGGCUCGGCCAGCGUCUGAUUAGCUAGUUGGUGGGGUAAUAGGCCACCAAGGAGACGAUAAGUAGCUGGUCUGAGAGGAUGAUCAGCCUCACUGGGACUGAGACACGGCCCAGACUCCUACGGGAGUCAGCAGUGGGGAGUAUUGGACAAUGGGCGCAAGCCUGAUCCAGCCAUGCCGCGUGGGUGAUGAAGGCCCUAGGGUUGUAAAGCCCUUUCGGCGGGGAAGAUAAUGACGGUACCCGCAGAAGAAGCCCCGGCUAACUUCGUGCCAGCCGCCGCCGUAA